rnacentral:rRNA from 1 species
CGGGACGAGUCCCGGACUGCGUGUAUCCGAAGAAAAAGCAUCGGCUCACUCCGUGCCAGCAGCCGCGGUAAUACGGAGGAUGCGAGCGUUAUCCGGAUUUAUUGGGUUUAAAGGGUGCGUAGGCGGUCCGUUAAGUCAGCGGUAAAAUUGCGGGGCUCAACCCCGUCGAGCCGUUGAAACUGGCAGACUUGAGUUGGCGAGAAGUACGCGGAAUGCGCGGUGUAGCGGUGAAAUGCAUAGAUAUCGCGCAGAACUCCGAUUGCGAAGGCAGCGUACCGGCGCCACACUGACGCUGAGGCACGAAAGCGUGGGGAUCGAACAGGAUUAGAUACCCUGGUAGUCCACGCAGUAAACGAUGAAUGCUGGUUGUCCGGGUCGAAUGAGA